UACGGGGGGGGCAAGCGUUGUUCGGAAUUACUGGGCGUAAAGGGCUCGUAGGCGGCCAACUAAGUCGGAUGUGAAAUCCCCAGGCUUAACCUGGGAACUGCAUCCGAUACUGGAUGGCUUGAAUCCGGGAGAGGGAUGCAGAAUUCCAGGUGUAGCGGUGAAAUGCGUAGAUAUCGUAAGGAAGACCAGUGGCGAAGGCGAAUCUCUGGACAGUUACUGACACUGAGGCACGAAGGCCAGGGGAGCAAACGGG
rnacentral:rRNA from 1 species